AUUGAACGCUGGCGGCAGGCCUAACACAUGCAAGUCGAGCGGAUGACGGGAGCUUGCUCCUUGAUUCAGCGGCGGACGGGUGAGUAAUGCCUAGGAAUCUGCCUGGUAGUGGGGGACAACGUUUCGAAAGGAACGCUAAUACCGCAUACGUCCUACGGGAGAAAGCAGGGGACCUUCGGGCCUCGCGCUAUCAGAUGAGCCUAGGUCGGAUUAGCUAGCAGGUGAGGUAAUGGCUCACCUAGGCGACGAUCCGUAACUGGUCUGGGAGGAUGAUCAGUCACACUGGAACUGAGACACGGCCCAGACUCCUACGGGAGGCAGCAGUGGGGAAUAUUGGACAAUGGGCGAAAGCCUGAUCCAGCCACGCCGCGUGUGUGAAGAAGGUCUUCGGAUUGUAAAGCACUUUAAGUUGGGAGGAAGGGCAGUAAGCUAAUACCUUGCUGUUUUGACGUUACCGACAGAAUAAGCACCGGCUAACUCUGUGCCAGCCGCCGCCGUAAUAC
rnacentral:rRNA from 1 species